AAGCUGUAGACUUGUUUACGGGACAGACCCCCCCCCAGCCC
rnacentral:tRNA from 1 species